rnacentral:rRNA from 1 species
UGGGGAAUUUUGCACAAUGGGGGAAACCCUGAUGCAGCGACGCCGCGUGAUUUAGAAGGCCUUCGGGUUGUAAAAAUCUUUUGUAUAGGAAGAAAAUGACAGUACUAUACGAAUAAGGACCGGCUAAUUACGUGCCAGCAGCCGCGGUAAUACGUAAGGUCCGAGCGUUGCCCGGAAUCAUUGGGCGUAAAGGGUACGUAGGCGGGUAAGCAAGUUAGAAGUGAAAUCCUAUAGCUCAACUAUAGUAAGCUUUUAAAACUGCUCAUCUUGAGGUAUGGAAGGGAAAGUGGAAUUCCUAGUGUAGCGGUGAAAUGCGCAGAUAUUAGGAGGAAUACCGGUGGCGAAGGCGACUUUCUGGCCAUAACCUGACGCUGAGGCUCGAAAGCGUGGGUAGCAAACAGG